rnacentral:rRNA from 1 species
UACGUAGGGUGCAAGCGUUGUCCGGAAUUAUUGGGCGUAAAGAGCUCGUAGGCGGUUUGUCGCGUCGGCUGUGAAAACCUGGGGCUCAACCCCGGGCCUGCAGCCGAUACGGGCAAGCUAGAAUUCGGUAGGGGAGACUAGGAAUUCCUGGUGUAGCGGUGAAAUGCGCAGAUAAUCAGGAGGAACACCGGUGGCGAAGGCGGGUCUCUGGGCCGAUAUUGACGCUGAGGAGCGAAAGCGUGGGGAGCAAACAGG